rnacentral:rRNA from 1 species
UACGGAGGGGGCAAGCGUUAUUCGGAAUUACUGGGCGUAAAGCGCACGUAGGCGGCAAUCCAAGUCAAAGGUGAAAGCCCUCGGCUCAACCGAGGAACUGCCUUUGAAACUGUAUUGCUUGAGUCCGGGAGGGGGGAGCGGAAUUCCCAGUGUAGCGGUGAAAUGCGUAGAUACUGGGAGGAACACCGGUGGCGAAGGCGGCUCCCUGGACCGGUACUGACGCUGAGGUGCGAAAGAGUGGGUAGCAAACAGG